UUACACAUGCAAGUCGAGGGGCAGCAUUUCAGUUUGCUUGCAAACUGGAGAUGGCGACCGGCGCACGGGUGAGUAACACGUAUCCAACCUGCCGAUAACUCGGGGAUAGCCUUUCGAAAGAAAGAUUAAUACCCGAUGGCAUAAUUAGACCGCAUGGUCUUAUUAUUAAAGAAUUUCGGUUAUCGAUGGGGAUGCGUUCCAUUAGGCAGUUGGUGAGGUAACGGCUCACCAAACCUUCGAUGGAUAGGGGUUCUGAGAGGAAGGUCCCCCACAUUGGAACUGAGACACGGUCCAAACUCCUACGGGAGGCAGCAGUGAGGAAUAUUGGUCAAUGGACGAGAGUCUGAACCAGCCAAGUAGCGUGAAGGAUGACUGCCCUAUGGGUUGUAAACUUCUUUUAUAUGGGAAUAAAGUUUUCCACGUGUGGAAUUUUGUAUGUACCAUAUGAAUAAGGAUCGGCUAACUCCGUGCCAGCAGCCGCGGUAAUACGGAGGAUCCGAGCGUUAUCCGGAUUUAUUGGGUUUAAAGGGAGCGUAGGUGGACAGUUAAGUCAGUUGUGAAAGUUUGCGGCUCAACCGUAAAAUUGCAGUUGAUACUGGCUGUCUUGAGUACAGUAGAGGUGGGCGGAAUUCGUGGUGUAGCGGUGAAAUGCUUAGAUAUCACGAAGAACUCCGAUUGCGAAGGCAGCUCACUGGACUGCAACUGACACUGAUGCUCGAAAGUGUGGGUAUCAAACAGGAUUAGAUACCCUGGUAGUCCACACAGUAAACGAUGAAUACUCGCUGUUUGCGAUAUACAGUAAGCGGCCAAGCGAAAGCAUUAAGUAUUCCACCUGGGGAGUACGCCGGCAACGGUGAAACUCAAAGGAAUUGACGGGGGCCCGCACAAGCGGAGGAACAUGUGGUUUAAUUCGAUGAUACGCGAGGAACCUUACCCGGGCUUAAAUUGCAUUUGAAUAAUCUGGAAACAGGUUAGCCGCAAGGCAAAUGUGAAGGUGCUGCAUGGUUGUCGUCAGCUCGUGCCGUGAGGUGUCGGCUUAAGUGCCAUAACGAGCGCAACCCUUAUCUUUAGUUACUAACAGGUCAUGCUGAGGACUCUAGAGAGACUGCCGUCGUAAGAUGUGAGGAAGGUGGGGAUGACGUCAAAUCAGCACGGCCCUUACGUCCGGGGCUACACACGUGUUACAAUGGGGGGUACAGAAGGCAGCUACCUGGUGACAGGAUGCUAAUCCCAAAAGCCUCUCUCAGUUCGGAUCGAAGUCUGCAACCCGACUUCGUGAAGCUGGAUUCGCUAGUAAUCGCGCAUCAGCCAUGGCGCGGUGAAUACGUUCCCGGGCCUUGUACACACCGCCCGUCAAGCCAUGAAAGCCGGGGGUACCUGAAGUACGUAACCGCAAGGAGCGUCCUAG
rnacentral:rRNA from 1 species